rnacentral:rRNA from 1 species
CCUACGGGGGGCUGCAGUGGGGAAUAUUGGACAAUGGGCGAAAGCCUGAUCCAGCCAUGCCGCGUGUGUGAAGAAGGCCUUCGGGUUGUAAAGCACUUUCAGUGGGGAAGAAAGCCUUGGGGCUAAUACCCUCGAGGAAGGACAUCACCCACAGAAGAAGCACCGGCUAACUCCGUGCCAGCAGCCGCGGUAAUACGGAGGGUGCGAGCGUUGAUCGGAAUUACUGGGCGUAAAGCGCGCGUAGGCGGUCUGAUAAGCCGGUUGUGAAAGCCCCGGGCUCAACCUGGGAACGGCAUCCGGAACUGUCAGGCUAGAGUGCAGGAGAGGAAGGUAGAAUUCCCGGUGUAGCGGUGAAAUGCGUAGAGAUCGGGAGGAAUACCAGUGGCGAAGGCGGCCUUCUGGACUGACACUGACGCUGAGGUGCGAAAGCGUGGGUAGCAAACAGGAUUAGAUACCCUAGUAGUC